GACGAACGCUGGCGGCGUGCUUAACACAUGCAAGUCGAACGGAAAGGCCCUGCUUUUGUGGGGUGCUCGAGUGGCGAACGGGUGAGUAACACGUGAGUAACCUGCCCUUGACUUUGGGAUAACUUCAAGAAACUGGGGCUAAUACCGGAUAGGAGCUCCUGCUGCAUGGUGGGGGUUGGAAAGUUUCGGCGGUUGGGGAUGGACUCGCGGCUUAUCAGCUUGUUGGUGGGGUAGUGGCUUACCAAGGCUUUGACGGGUAGCCGGCCUGAGAGGGUGACCGGCCACAUUGGGACUGAGAUACGGCCCAGACUCCUACGGGAGGCAGCAGUGGGGAAUAUUGCACAAUGGGCGGAAGCCUGAUGCAGCAACGCCGCGUGCGGGAUGACGGCCUUCGGGUUGUAAACCGCUUUCGCCUGUGACGAAGCGUGAGUGACGGUAAUGGGUAAAGAAGCACCGGCUAACUACGUGCCAGCAGCCGCGGUGAUACGUAGGGUGCGAGCGUUGUCCGGAUUUAUUGGGCGUAAAGGGCUCGUAGGUGGUUGAUCGCGUCGGAAGUGUAAUCUUGGGGCUUAACCCUGAGCGUGCUUUCGAUACGGGUUGACUUGAGGAAGGUAGGGAAGAAUGGAAUUCCUGGUGGAGCGGUGGAAUGCGCAGAUAUCAGGAGGAACACCAGUGGCGAAGGCGGUUCUCUGGGCCUUUCCUGACGCUGAGGAGCGAAAGCGUGGGGAGCGAACAGGCUUAGAUACCCUGGUAGUCCACGCUGUAAACGGUGGGUACUAGGUGUGGGGUCCAUUCCACGGGUUCCGUGCCGUAGCUAACGCUUUAAGUACCCCGCCUGGGGAGUACGGCCGCAAGGCUAAAACUCAAAGGAAUUGACGGGGCCCCGCACAAGCGGCGGAGCAUGCGGAUUAAUUCGAUGCAACGCGUAGAACCUUACCUGGGUUUGACAUGGAUCGGGAGUGCUCAGAGAUGGGUGUGCCUCUUUUGGGGUCGGUUCACAGGUGGUGCAUGGCUGUCGUCAGCUCGUGUCGUGAGAUGUUGGGUUAAGUCCCGCAACGAGCGCAACCCUUGUUCACUGUUGCCAGCACGUUAUGGUGGGGACUCAGUGGAGACCGCCGGGGUCAACUCGGAGGAAGGUGGGGAUGACGUCAAGUCAUCAUGCCCCUUAUGUCCAGGGCUUCACGCAUGCUACAAUGGCUGGUACAGAGAGUGGCGAGCCUGUGAGGGUGAGCGAAUCUCGGAAAGCCGGUCUCAGUUCGGAUUGGGGUCUGCAACUCGACCUCAUGAAGUCGGAGUCGCUAGUAAUCGCAGAUCAGCAACGCUGCGGUGAAUACGUUCCCGGGGCU
rnacentral:rRNA from 1 species